rnacentral:sRNA from 1 species
GAAAUUAGGCUAAUAUCAGAUCUCAGCGUUUUCUGUUUAGUGUCUGCAACUCCUAUUUCGGAGAUUUUAAGAUAGAUAACGCAGUUUAAUAUGACAUCAUCGAUCUGAUUCUAUCCAUCAACCAAUCCAGAUUUAAAACAACUGAUUGAAAAAC